rnacentral:lncRNA from 1 species
CUGGGUCUCCCACGCUUAGGCUUCCGCUUCUUCCCCACUUUACCAUAUGAUUCAUCACUCUCUUGACCAGAAGAUUCUGCAGGGUCACCAUCAACCACCUCAAUACUUUUCUUCCCAGACUCAUCACUCUCCUUAGCCUUGGGGGGUCUCCCACGCUUAGGCUUCCGCUUCUUCCUCACUUUACCAUAUGAUUCAUCACUCUCUUGACCAGAAGAUUCUGCAGGGUCACCAUCAACCACCUCAAAUCUUUUCUUCCCAGACUCAUCACUCUCCUUAGCCUUGGGAGGUCUCCCACGCUUAGGCUUUAAUUUUUCACUCAUCUCAUUACCUGACAGUUCACUCUCUUCACCAGCAGAUUGAUGGCUGCCUUCUUUACCCACCUUGACUCUUUUC